GGUGAACGCUGGCGGCGUGCUUAACACAUGCAAGUCGAACGGUGAAAGAGAGCUUGCUCUCUGGAUCAGUGGCGAACGGGUGAGUAACACGUGAGCAAUCUGCCCCUGACUCUGGGAUAAGCGCUGGAAACGGCGUCUAAUACCGGAUACGAGCUGCGAAGGCAUCUUCAGCAGCUGGAAAGAACUUCGGUCAGGGAUGAGCUCGCGGCCUAUCAGCUAGUUGGUGAGGUAACGGCUCACCAAGGCGUCGACGGGUAGCCGGCCUGAGAGGGUGACCGGCCACACUGGGACUGAGACACGGCCCAGACUCCUACGGGAGGCAGCAGUGGGGAAUAUUGCACAAUGGGCGAAAGCCUGAUGCAGCAACGCCGCGUGAGGGACGACGGCCUUCGGGUUGUAAACCUCUUUUAGCAGGGAAGAAGCGAAAGUGACGGUACCUGCAGAAAAAGCGCCGGCUAACUACGUG
rnacentral:rRNA from 1 species